GUGGGGAAUAUUGGACAAUGGGGGGAACCCUGAUCCAGCCAUGCCGCGUGUGUGAAGAAGGCCUUUUGGUUGUAAAGCACUUUAAGCGAGGAGGAGGCUACCGAGAUUAAUACUCUUGGAUAGUGGACGUUACUCGCAGAAUAAGCACCGGCUAACUCUGUGCCAGCAGCCGCGGUAAUACAGAGGGUGCAAGCGUUAAUCGGAUUUACUGGGCGUAAAGCGCGCGUAGGUGGUCAAUCAAGUCAAAUGUGAAAUCCCCGAGCUUAACUUGGGAAUUGCAUUCGAUACUGGUUGGCUAGAGUAUGGGAGAGGAUAGUAGAAUUCCAGGUGUAGCGGUGAAAUGCGUAGAGAUCUGGAGGAAUACCGAUGGCGAAGGCAGCCAUCUGGCCUAAUACUGACACUGAGGUGCGAAAGCAUGGGGAGCAAACAGGAUUAGAUACCCCGGUAGUCC
rnacentral:rRNA from 1 species